rnacentral:rRNA from 1 species
CAGCCGCCGUAACACAUGCAAGUCGGACGGUAGCACAGAGAGCUUGCUCUCGGGUGACGAGUGGCGGACGGGUGAGUAAUGUCUGGGAAUCUGCCCGAUAGAGGGGGAUAACCACUGGAAACGGUGGCUAAUACCGCAUAACGUCGCAAGACCAAAGAGGGGGACCUUCGGGCCUCUCACUAUCGGAUGAACCCAGAUGGGAUUAGCUAGUAGGCGGGGUAACGGCCCACCUAGGCGACGAUCCCUAGCUGGUCUGAGAGGAUGACCAGCCACACUGGAACUGAGACACGGUCCAGACUCCUACGGGAGGCAGCAGUGGGGAAUAUUGCACAAUGGGCGCAAGCCUGAUGCAGCCAUGCCGCGUGUAUGAAGAAGGCCUUCGGGUUGUAAAGUACUUUCAGCGGGGAGGAAGGCAUGAGGGUUAAUAACCUUCGUGAUUGACGUUACCCGCAGAAGAAGCACCGGCUAACUCCGUGCCAGCCGCCGCGGUAAUAC